AUUGAACGCUGGCGGCAGGCCUAACACAUGCAAGUCGAACGGCAGCACAGAAGAGCUUGCUCUUUGGGUGGCGAGUGGCGGACGGGUGAGUAAUGUCUGGGAAACUGCCCGAUGGAGGGGGAUAACUACUGGAAACGGUAGCUAAUACCGCAUAACGUCGCAAGACCAAAGUGGGGGACCUUCGGGCCUCACACCAUCGGAUGUGCCCAGAUGGGAUUAGCUAGUAGGUGGGGUAAUGGCUCACCUAGGCGACGAUCCCUAGCUGGUCUGGGAGGAUGACCAGCCACACUGGAACUGAGACACGGUCCAGACUCCUACGGGAGGCAGCAGUGGGGAAUAUUGCACAAUGGGCGCAAGCCUGAUGCAGCCAUGCCGCGUGUAUGAAGAAGGCCUUCGGGUUGUAAAGUACUUUCAGCGGGGAGGAAGGCGGUGAGGUUAAUAACCUCGUCGAUUGACGUUACCCGCAGAAGAAGCACCGGCUAACUCCGUGCCAGCCGCCGCAGUAAUAC
rnacentral:rRNA from 1 species